rnacentral:miRNA from 1 species
AUCGGCGUCUCCUGAAGUGAAG